UGUCCAGUAGCACCUUAGAGACCAACUAAGUUUGUUCUUGGUUCUUGGCAUGCACGCGGAAGCUUAUGCCAAGAACAAACUUAGUUGGUCUCUAAGAUGCUACUGGACA